rnacentral:rRNA from 1 species
GAUGAACGCUGGCGGCGUGCCUAAUACAUGCAAGUCGAGCGAACAGACGAGGAGCUUGCUCCUCUGACGUUAGCGGCGGACGGGUGAGUAACACGUGGAUAACCUACCUAUAAGACUGGGAUAACUUCGGGAAACCGGAGCUAAUACCGGAUAAUAUAUUGAACCGCAUGGUUCAAUAGUGAAAGACGGUUUUGCUGUCACUUAUAGAUGUAUCCGCGCCGCAUUAGCUAGUUGGUAAGGUAACAGCUUACCAAGGCAACGAUGCGUAGCCGACCUGAGAGGGUGAUCGGCCACACUGGAACGGAGACACGGUCCAGACUACUACGGGAGGCAGCAGUAGGGAAUCUUCCGCAAUGGGCGAAAGCCUGACGGAGCAACGCCGCGUGAGUGAUGAAGGUCUUCGGAUCGUAAAACUCUGUUAUUAGGGAAGAACAAAUGUGUAAGUAACUAUGCACGUCUUGACGGUACCUAAUCAGAAAGCCACGGCUAACUACGUG